rnacentral:misc_RNA from 1 species
GGAAGGAUCAUUCACACUUUAAUCCAAAAACAUCUUGUGAACCACAAAAAGUACCUUUUUAAAACCUAAUACCCUAAAAUCCAAUUAAAUCAAAAAUAUAAAAUCCAUAUACAACUGCUAACAACGGAUGUCUUGGUUCUCGCAACGAUGAAGAACGCAGCGAAAUGCGAUACGUAAUGUGAAUUGCAGAUCUGUGAAUCAUCGAAUCUUUGAACGCAAGUGGCGCUUUGGGGUAUUCCCUAAAGCAUGUCUGUUUGAGUAUCAACCAACACUCACCUAACAAUUCUUUUGAAUCGAGGGUGGAGAAUGAGUGUCGAUGUUUACAUCGUCGCUUUAAAUGCAUGUUGCCAUUGCUUACAAUGUGUUGGCAGUAGGUCCGAAAGGUCAUAUUGUUCCAAUGUAAUGUAGACGUGGUUAAUAAUUGAUCACCAAUUAUUUUAUUUGAUCUCAAAUCAGGCAAGACUACCCGCCGAAUUUAAGCAUAUAACUAAGCGGAGGAAAAGAAACUAACUAGGAUUCCCGUAGUAACUGCGAGUGAAGUGGGAAAAGCUCAACCCUUUAAUCUGAAAACUUCGUUUUCCGAGUUGUGGGCUAGAGAAUUGCACAUUGAACUUUGUUGGCACAAGUUUCUUGGAAAAGAACAUCAGAGAGGGUGAUAAUCCCGUCGAUGGCCUUCGUAAGUUCAUUUUUUGUGCUUUUUCUUUGAGUCGAGUUGUUUGGGAAUGCAGCUCCAAUUUGGUGGUAAAUUUCAUCUAAAGCUAAAUACUGGCGAGAGACCGAUAGCGAACAAGUACCGUGAGGGAAAGAUGAAAAGUACUUUGAAAAGAGAGUCAAAAGGGCCUGAAAUUGUUAGCAGGGAAACGAUUGACGCGAGUGAUCGAGCUUUGCAGAUCAGUUUGUGUAGCAAUACACGGAUGCACUUUGCUUGCUCGAGUGUUGCAUCGGUUGCGAUUGUAGUAAAGCGCUUAGAGGAAGGUGGGCAUUUCGGUGUCUUUAGCCUCUUUGAACGAUCUAUUGUUGCGACCGAGGCGUGCACCAUACGUUCAAACAUAUGGCUGUGUUUUUUGUGUUUUUUGUCUUUAAGAGCUGCUUGCAGAGCUUAUCGAUCGAGAGUGCGAAAGGUGCAAGUCUUAUUAGUAUGGUCCAGAUGUUGACAAAAUCGCUUCAACCGACCCGUCUUGAAACACGGACCAAGGAGUCUAACAUGUGUGCGAGUAUUUUGGUGUUAAACCAGAGUGCGCAACGAAAGUGAUGAGUACCAAAGCUUUAGCUUGCAGUACUAGCCACCCAACGAGUUUCCACUUUUUGGGAUGAGUUUGAGCAUAUAUGUUGGGACCCGAAAGAUGGUGAACUAUGCCUGAAUAGGAUGAAGCCAGAGGAAACUCUGGUGGAGGUCCGAAGCGGUUCUGACGUGCAAAUCGAUCGUCAAAUUUGGGUAUAGGGGCGAAAGACUAAUCGAACCAUCUAGUAGCUGGUUCCCUC